rnacentral:lncRNA from 1 species
UGAAUCAUUUUUUUGUAAGUUUCCUUCCACAUGCUUAGUGAAUUCUUGAUAUCAUCAUUCUUCCAUUCUUCAAGAAGAUUUGUCCUCAAAUCCAAAUCUGCGUAAAUAAUUAGUUGAUUGAAAAAAAUUCUAUUCUUUUUCUCUUUUCUUUCUUUUUAAAAUUUAUUUAGUUUUUCUUCCAUAUUCUCAAAGAGACCUUUUUUCUCAAUCUUCUCUUCUUUUCUCUCAAAUAUAUAUUUCUUUUCAACUCUCUCCGGUUUCUUU